GUUUGUUUGUUUUUUAAUGUAAGUGGUUGGGAAGAGGAGAUCGAUGGGAAAGUUACAAAAGAAACAGGAAUUUCCAAAGAAUCUGAGAACUUAGAGAGGUGAGAGAAGAGAGAAAGGAAAAGCACUGCCCAGAGAGGAGAGGCCAAGUUGGAGCAUCCAGAAAGGCCUGCCACUUCAAAAAAAAAAAAAAAAAAAAAAUCCAAGGAUCCUGAAGCAAGGAGAAGAUACUGGG
rnacentral:lncRNA from 10 species